rnacentral:lncRNA from 13 species
GCGCAGGAAAACACACCUUUGAACUGAGAGCGCACGCAGGGCUACAGAGACAAUUUAAAGCUGUGGUUCUAGCCUACAGUUUGAUUUAUAGCCUUGGCCACUAUUAUAUAACAUAUCUCCAGUUUUAACCCGCCUCCAUAUGUGACAGUUAUUUUUUGUCUCAGUGCCACUAAACAAAUUGACUUCUCCUCCCUUCUGUCCCUUCCUUGCCUUUUGUAUUUUUCUCUUGCUUGUUGGUUUUGUCUGUGAAGCCGCCGGAUGACCAGAGCACGGAUUUCACCUCGUCCUUGAGAGAGACAGGAGAGAUAAGAAUAGAGAGAGCGCGACACACACACAUUACUCCUACACACAGCGACCGAUCCGACAUCGAAACACGAGGAAGACGCAAUCACCGAGACCCGGGUGAAGCCUCUCUCUGAUGGGUAUCCAGUCCACCCAGUCAUCUCUUCAGGGACGUUAGUAGGUCAGCUGCUAUUUUCAUACUUCUGAAUCCCGAACACACCCUUGUUCACCCCUCCCCAGUUCUCUACUGUCCACACUUACUCACUCUCCCCUGGUUCUGUACUGUACGGCAUAAAACACACUUUCCUAAAAGACCUUCAGUGAACCAAUGUAGUUGUCGAGUAAGUUAUAGAUAGACCUAUUAGGUAAAGAAGACAGGGGGUUGGUGGAGGCUCUGCAGAGGGGGUAAUGGUGGUGAGUUUAACAAGUCACUUUCCUGACAGUGUUUCCUAGUACUAUUCAACGUCCAAGAAAAGCCUUGUCACUGAAGUGUAUCUAGACGGGACUAUAACCCACCCGGAUAAACCUGAUGGCCUCAACAUGAAAGCCAUCACAUCGUCAGUCUUCAGCCUCU